UACGUAGGGGGCUAGCGUUGUCCGGAAUCAUUGGGCGUAAAGAGCGUGUAGGCGGUCCGGUAAGUCCGCUGUGAAAGUCGGGGGCUCAACCCUCGAAUGCCGGUGGAUACUGUCGGACUAGAGUGCGGAAGAGGCGAGUGGAAUUCCUGGUGUAGCGGUGAAAUGCGCAGAUAUCAGGAGGAACACCUAUUGCGAAGGCAGCUCGCUGGGACGUAACUGACGCUGAGACGCGAAAGCGUGGGGAGCGAACAGG
rnacentral:rRNA from 1 species